GUUUACAAGUAUAGUAGGGAGAGAAGUCAUUUACACAGAAGAAUGGAAUACAAAUUAAAAUGAGUUUUUAACCCAAGAGACAGUAUAGACUAGUGGAUGGAGAGCACUCCCAAGAGUUGGGUGAUCCUGGCUUUAAAUCUUACCUUGGGCACCCAUUGUGACCUAGACUGAAUCACGAAGCCACAUGAGAUUCAGGAGAUGCAGUUACAUUUGGAGAGGAAGAUCUUCCCUGGGAGCUGUCCACAUGAAUGAAAUCAUAAAAUACCAUAGAAUCAUUGAAGUCCAGUGCAGGACAAAAGUCAAGACCAUCAACAAUGGCCUGAGAUGCAGUGGGUGACCUUGGUGCUUUAGACAUUCGAUCAAACUCCAAGCUCGAUUCCCAGCUUAGUGGAGAGAUUGACUCCAUGCUAUGGUGAAGGAAUAUCCAGAGGUGGAAUUCAUCAAAUUGCAGCCCUGAGAACUGGAAAAGGUGAAGAAAGAUAAUCCAAGGUCUCUCCAAGCAACUAAAGUCAAGAAGCAAGAUGAUCAGUCAGGGGCACGGGCGGGGGUCAAAGUGGUUGAGUAUAUGUAGUCUGGAUACUUCUUAUCUCUGGAGUCACACAAAAGAGGAGCUCAGAUAGAAGAAUAUUUUAUAGGAAGUAAUUUAAGUUCCAUGUAUACCUUCCAGGUAUAAUAACACUUGAACUGAACCAAGCCUCGUCGUACAUAUGGGACCAAAGAGUGAGAGAUAGACUGACGUCUUCUUUGGGUUAUUGACAAAAUUCUGUCUUCCUCCAUCCACAGAUGAGUAAGUGCAGAGAAAUGUAAGAAAGCAUAAUCUUUGUCCUGAGUGAGUUUGCAUUCUAUCUGAGAUGAGAUUAAUAAACAUGAAAGGGGGGGUGUGCUGUAUGUGCCAAGUUCAGUGGGAUGUAAAUGAUAA